rnacentral:lncRNA from 1 species
GUUAAUAAAUUUCCUGACGUAUUCCUGAAUACUUCCUGGCCUACCCUAGAGCGUGAAAUCGAAUUUUGUAUUGACCCAAGUACAAAACCCAUUUCUAAAACCCUUAAAUAUUUCUUCAACCAAAACGAACGUAUAAUGCGCCAAAGACAUUGGCUCGAGCUGUUGAAGAUUACGACCAUAUCAUUCAAUAUUAUCAUGGAAAAAGCGAACGUGGUAGCUGAUGCAUUGAGUAAAAGAUUGUAUGCGUUUACGAUUGUAACAUUGUUAACACAAAG